AACGAACGCUGGCGGCAGGCCUAACACAUGCAAGUCGAACGCUCCGCAAGGGGAGUGGCGCACGGGUGAGUAACACGUGGGAACCUACCUUCUGGUACGGAACAACCAAGGGAAACUUUGGCUAAGACCGUAUACGACCUCCGGGUGAAAGAUUGAUCGCCGGAAGAGGGGCCCGCGUCCGAUUAGGUAGUUGGUGAGGUAACGGCUCACCAAGCCUUCGAUCGGUAGCUGGUCUGAGAGGAUGACCAGCCACACUGGGACUGAAACACGGCCCAGACUCCUACGGGAGGCAGCAGUGGGGAAUAUUGGACAAUGGGCGCAAGCCUGAUCCAGCCAUGCCGCGUGAGUGAUGAAGGCCUCGGUUGUAA
rnacentral:rRNA from 1 species